UCUAUUUUUUUUCUACAGUAAGCUCUAGGAACACAAUACAACUAAACGGAAAGAAUUGAAUUUGAGGUUCAGAGGAUGAACGAACAAAAUCGCCUUCUCCUCCUCUUCCUUUCUUUAUCUCUCUCGCCAGCCACCGUUUUUCUUCUGCAUCCAUUUAAAUUCUCUACAUCCACAAAACCAACAUCAAAAUCUCUCUUUCCCUUUCAAAUUUUUAGAUUCUUUCACCAAUUUUUCACCGAACCAGUUUCUGAGAAGAACAAGAAAUCAAAAUCUUCAAGAGAUGGAACAACAAAUGAGGCAGGACAAUCAUCAAGAAGAAGCUGUAGCCUCAGGUUGCAGAAGAAUCUUCUGGCUUUCAACAAGGAGCUGUUGGUGAAAGUAAUGUUCAAAUUAAUUGUUCUGACUCGGAUCAAGGUGGAUCGACUGAACUUUAGAAACUGUUAAAGCAGAAGACUUUCAGCAGGCAUGUUUUGUAUCCUGUAUUUCUGUGGAUGAGGAAUAAUUGUUUUUGGUUUUUAGUUGUUGAAACUAAUUGUUUUGCACAUUUGGUAAUUUUAUUUUCAGAAAAAGGCUUAACAUAAGAGCUAUAAAAACAUCUCGGCACACAAUAUCUUGAUACUAUGUUGGAGUAUGUUAUGUUAUAGCAUAGGAAUAGUUUUCUAGUAGUUUCUUAGUGUAUCUUAUAUUAUUCCUUAAGAUUAGUUUCCAUAUUUCAUAGUUACUAUCAUGGUUUAUUAUUUUCCUAUGUAAUUGGUAUUUGGAGUCUUGUGCACGGCUAACUGCGUAUUCUUUUUGUUACAAAUCAUAAUUAUCAAUCAUAUCAAACAAUAUUCAUAAUUCAAAGACUUAAUCUAUUUGUUUGAUUGUAAUUUGUGGAUUUGAAAUUACUGAUUUCUCCACUCUGAGCUAUCUCACAUUAAUUGCUUCGUAAUAUCCAUAGGAUCCUAUCGAGGACGUUGCUUCACCUGCAGAGCUUGCAAAAAUCCUUCUCGUGGGGAAGACCCAACUCUUCUAAAAAUUGAAAAUACUCCAUAUAAAUCCCCUAUAACAUCGAUUGUGCCAAGGGAUACUAGACAAACUGCAGUUCAUGAAAAUGAUUUUGUGACCCCAAGACCUCGUGGCAGAUCUGCAAUAUACAAUAUGGCUCGUACACAGUAUUCCAGAGUUUAUCCAACCUCUACCCUCAAGGGAGUUGUGAAUGCUGUUCAAGUAGAGCCUUCAUCUUCAACUCAGUCUGCAAUGAAUCUUGACAUGCUUUCGGGAUCUACAUGAGGGGGGAUAAAGUGUAGAAAUUUAGCAGUGGAUAAUAAUAUUGGAUCUGUUGGUCCUAUACGCCGAGUCCGUCAUAAGUCUAAUCUUCUAUAUUCUAAAGGUUCCAGCUCACCUCUUUCUGGCAGUGCUUUAUCUGUCUAUAGGAACUGAUCGGGUAUUGUUACUGCUCAGCAACCCUCAUCUUCCUUGCGGAAGCCUGUUCUGCCAGAUGAAAUUAAGCACAAGUCUAAAGAAAAUGUGAACGGAACUAAAGCUAGUACGAGCUUUCCUCCUUUUUCCUCAAAAUUCAGUGAGAUGGCUACAAAAAUAUUGCAGCAACUUGAUAAGUUUUUUUCUCCCAAAGAAAAAUCUUCUGAAUCAAGGCUACCAGUUGUGAGUGAUAGUUCAUCAAUGAAGUUGUCACCUUCAAUGCUACACGGACAGGCUCUUUGAGCAUGGAAAUGGUAAAUGCGUCAAAAUCGCCGGACAGUUUACAAGGUUAUAAAUUGGGUGGCACAUUUGGAAAUUUGUCUCGGUGCGUAGAAUCCGAAGUCAAUUUCACAUAGAGAGAUAAGGAUGCAAUUCCAUACUACUUGUUUUUUAUAAAUAUUCCAAGAACACAACAACAUAGUACUAGGAAUUUCACACAAAAGUACCACAAAUAACAACAAUGUCUUCCUCUCCACCACCUCUAGUGAAUAAUCCUCCUUCCACCACAAUCUCUCAAGAACAACAGACACAAUCCUCAUCACCGCAUCACUCAUCCUCAUCCUCAUCAUCCCCCACCACAAUCUCUCAAGAACAACAGACAGGAGCACCUUCCUCCUCCACCACAACAAACAUCACCACACUAACCUCUCAAGAACAGCAGCAAGAUCCUCAACAAUCCUCACAACCAAGAACAUCUACAGAAGAAAUACAUUCAUCUCCACAACAUACACAAACUGGUUUAUCUUCCACCACCCUUAUUCCACGACAAACAUCUCAUUCUCAUUCUCCUUCAAGUGAACAAACAAAUCGUCAGGAUAGAGAACCCCCAACAUCAAAAUUGGUGGCAAAGAACCAGACCAUAUGCAAUAGUCAUCCUAUUGCAAUUCGUGUUUGCCAUCAUGAAUUUCUCAACAAAGCUGGCAAUGAACAACGGGAUGAGCAACUAUGUGUUUGUUGCAUAUCGCAACAUCCCUGCAUGUCUGGUCAUUGCACCAUUUGCGGUUUAUCUUGAAAGGGAUCGUUGGUCACAAAUGACAUGGUCAGUAUUCAUGAAGAUAUUGGCGCUCAGUGUGCUAGGACCUAUUAUGGACCAAGAUCUAUACUUCUUAGGGAUGAAGUACUCCACGACAACCCUAGCAUCAGCAUUAUGCAAUACUCUUCCUGGCAUGACGUUUAUUUUGGCUUGUGUUACUGGGAGAGAAACUAUAAACAUAACUGCUAAACCAAGCCAAGCAAAAAUAUUGGAGAGAAAAUAUGAAAUUUAUUGAUGUUGGGGGUUCUCUAUCCUGACGAUUUGUUCACUUGAAGGAGAAUGAGAUGUUUGUCGUGGAAUAAGGGUGGUGGAAGAUAAACCAGUUUGUGUAUGUUGUGGAGAUGAAUGUAUUUCUUUUGUAGAUGUUCUUGGUUGUGAGGAUUGUUGAAGAUCUUGUUGCUGUUCUUGAGAGGUUAGUGUGGUGAUGUUUGUUGUGGUGGAGGAGGAAGGUGCUCCUGUCUGUUGUUCUUGAGAGAUUGUGGUGGGGGAUGAUAAGGAUGAGGAUGAGGGAUGUGGUGAUGAGGAUUGUGUCUGUUGUUCUUGAGAGAUUGUGGUGGAAGGAGGAUUAUUCACUAGAGGUGGUGGAGAGGAAGACAUUGUUGUUAUUUGUGGUACUUUUGUGUGAAAUCCUAGUACUAUGUUGUUGUGUUCUUAGAAUAUUAAUAGGAUGACAUUUGAUGCAAAA